UCUACUUGUCAUUCUUUUCAAAUUGAACCUGAGAGGCCUUAUUUGGUCGAAGAGUAUGAAGAGGCACAUAGCAGCGAAAUGGAGUGGGAGCUGCCGGAGGCGAGAGAUACUCCCUCCACUCAGGUUGAAAGACUUGAAGAGAAUCAGGUUACGAGUGUCCCUCCUCUGAGUGUUCAAGCAACAGAGGACUACGAAACUAUGGAGCCGGAGCGACCGGAGGUGACAGAUACUCCCUCCACUCAGUUUGAGGACUACGAAACUAC